AUUGAACGCUGGCGGCAGGCCUAACACAUGCAAGUCGAACGGUAACAGGAAGCAGCUUGCUGCUUUGCUGACGAGUGGCGGACGGGUGAGUCAUGUCUGGGAAACUGCCUGAUGGAGGGGGAUAACUACUGGAAACGGUAGCUAAUACCGCAUAACGUCGCAAGACCAAAGAGGGGGACCUUAGGGCCUCUUGCCAUCGGAUGUGCCCAGAUGGGAUUAGCUAGUAGGUGGGGUAACGGCUCACCUAGGCGACGAUCCCUAGCUGGUCUGAGAGGAUGACCAGCCACACUGGAAGUGAGACACGGUCCAGACUCCGACGGGAGGCAGCAGUGGGGAAUAUUGCGCAAGGGGCGCAAGCCUGAUGCAGCCAUGCCGCGUGUAUGAAGAAGGCCUUCGGGUUGUAAAGUACUUUCAGCGGGGAGGAAGGGAGUAAAGUUAAUACCUUUGCUCAUUGACGUUACCCGCAGAAGAAGCACCGGCUAACUCCGUG
rnacentral:rRNA from 1 species